GACGAACGCUGGCGGCGUGCUUAACACAUGCAAGUCGAACGGAAAGGCCCUGCUUUUGUGGGGUGCUCGAGUGGCGAACGGGUGAGUAACACGUGAGUAACCUGCCCUUGACUUUGGGAUAACUUCAGGAAACUGGGGCUAAUACCGGAUAGGAGCUCCUGCUGCAUGGUGGGGGUUGGAAAGUUUCGGCGGGUGGGGAUGGACUCGCGGCUUAUCAGCUUGUUGGUGGGGGAGUGGCUUACCAAGGCUUUGACGGGUAGCCGGCCUGAGAGGGUGACCGGCGACAUUGGGACUGAGAUACGGCCCAGACUCCUACGGGAGGCAGCAGUGGGGAAUAUUGCACAAUGGGCGGAAGCCUGAUGCAGCAACGCCGCGUGCGGGAUGACGGCCUUCGGGUUGUAAACCGCUUUCGCCUGUGACGAAGCGUGAGUGACGGUAAUGGGUAAAGAAGCACCGGCUAACUACGUG
rnacentral:rRNA from 1 species